AGAAGAUGGAGCCAUUUCCUGAAAUCAUGGCCGCAAUCUCACCACAGAGGUUAUAAUGGUUUAUUGAUAUCAAAGGGUAGAGAAGGAAUGCUGACGUGUUCGAAAUCAGCACCCUCCUGAAACUGCCAGAAACGUACAGGAGAAUCAUGGUGGCAUGCUGGAUGACACUGAGAUCUGUGACUAAGCCUCUGAGUAAGGGAGUUAAAGGGAG